rnacentral:rRNA from 1 species
AAGGCCCUCGGGAUUGUAAACACCUGUCAGUAGGGAGGAAAUUUUGACCGAUCUACAGAGGAAGUCCGGGCUAAGUACGUGCCAGCAGCCGCGGUAAUACGUACCGGACAAACGUUAUUCGGAAUCACUGGGCUUAAAGAGUACGUAGGCUGUUUUGUAGGUGAGAUGUGAAAUCCCACGGCUCAACCGUGGAACUGCGUUUCAAACCACAAAACUUGAGGGAGACAGGGGUGAGCGGAACUGAUGGUGGAGCGGUGAAAUGCGUUGAUAUCAUCAGGAACACCGGUGGCGAAGGCGGCUCACUGGGUCUCUUCUGACGCUGAGGUACGAAAGCUAGGGUAGCGAAAGGGAUUAGAUACCCCUGUAGUC